rnacentral:rRNA from 1 species
CCUACGGGUGGCAGCAGUAGGGAAUUUUCGGCAAUGGGGGGAACCCUGACCCAGCAACGCCGCGUGAACGAAGAAGUUAUUCUUAAUGUAAAGUUCUUUUAACAGGGAAGAAAGAGAAAUUUGACGGUACCUGAAGAAUAAGCUCCGGCAAACUACGUGCCAGCAGCCGCGGUCAUACGUAGGGAGCGAGCGUUAUCCGGAAUUAUUGGGCGUAAGGGGUGCGUAGAUGGCAUAGUAAGUCUUUUGUAAAAAUGCUGGGCUAAACCCAGUAGGGCAAAAGAUACUGCAAAUCUAGAGUAUAACAGCGGUAAGUGGAAUGACAUGUGUAGCGGUAAAAUGCGUAAAGAUAUGAAAGAACACCAAUGGCGAAGGCGGCUUGCUGGGUCGAUACUGACAUUGAGGCACGAAAGCGUGGGGAGCAAACAGGAUUAGAUACCCGUGUAGUC